rnacentral:rRNA from 1 species
UACGUAGGGAGCAAGCGUUGUCCGGAAUCAUUGGGCGUAAAGCGCGCGUAGGUGGCCUCAUAAGUCCGCUGUGAAAGUCAAAGGCUCAACCUUUGAAAGCCGGUGGAUACUGUGGGGCUAGAGUACGGAAGAGGCGAGUGGAAUUCCUGGUGUAGCGGUGGAAUGCGCAGAUAUCAGGAGGAACACCGACGGCGUAGGCAGCGCCCUGGACGACACCUGACGCUGAGGCACGAAAGCUGGGGGAGCAAACAGG